UACGGGGGGCGCAAGCGUUGUUCGGAUUUACUGGGCGUAAAGGGCGCGUAGGCGGUCAGUGCAAGUCAGUUGUGAAAUCUCCGGGCUUAACUCGGAAAGGGCAACUGAUACUGCUCGACUAGAGUGCGGAAGGGGCAACUGGAAUUCUUGGUGUAGCGGUGAAAUGCGUAGAUAUCAAGAGGAACACCGGCGGCGAAGGCGGGUUGCUGGGCCGACACUGACGCUGAAGCGCGAAAGCGAGGGGAGCGAACGGG
rnacentral:rRNA from 1 species